rnacentral:lncRNA from 1 species
AACAACAAAAAGCCCUGCUGCCUUUGUGUUCAGGAUGGUAGAAGAUAGUAAGGCCCUUUCAUCUAAUGGGAGUGUAGAUGUCAGGGCUGGAGGAUAAUGACUCAGAGCCGGUGGAAAUGCGGCCGGUGGAACAAGUUUCAAACAGGAAAGUGCUUGUGGGGUGACCUCUGGGGUCAGCCACAGAGCUUACUGCAGAUUCCACCAAAAAAGUAAGAAGAUCCAAAAGGGCAAGGCGUAGGGUCUGUCGGGCGGGUGUGUCCCAGUUUAAACAAAGCUGCUUUGAUGUGCUUCCCAGCGGGCAGGCACAGGAAUGCAAGGCCCUGCUCUGUCUUGCAGCCAAGAGGGAGUUAUAAACAUCCAUCUGCAAGGGAAGAUCCAUCAGCUCCUAUCAACCACACAGGAAAGAUUUACAGGAAAUAUUUUCCCUUUUCCAAAUUCUUCUUCAUCUCUGACUUAGAGAAUGGCCCAGUCAAUUCCAGGGUCCUUGUCUCCACAAAUGGAAGUGCAAUUUAUGAAAGCUCAAUCCUGCUGCUAUGUGAAAACAUCUACAGUCACAGAGAAGAAAACAAAAUGCUGGGAUGAGACAAAGUACCAGUUACAGCAUGUGACUGAGGUGGAAUGAUAUUGGUUUCCCUGUAAGUUUCUCACCAUCCUGCAGCCUUCUGAGGGAUAAUCUCUUGUUGGCCUGAAUAACCUCUCACCAGGAACUUAAACUUCCUAAAAAAUAUUAAAAGAAGGCUGGGCAUGGUGGCUCAUGCCUAUAAUUUCUGAGCUUUGGGAGGCUGAGGCCAGAGGAUCCCUUGAGGGCAAGAGUUUGAGACCAGCCUGGGCAACACAGUGAAAUACCAUCUCUACAAAAUAAAAACAUCAUUUAAAAAAAUUAGCCAGCUGUGGUGGCAUGCACUUGUGGUUCCAGUUACCUGAGAGACUGAGGCAGGAGGAUUGCUUGGGCCCAGGAGUUUGAGGUUCUAAGCAAGCUAUGAGUGUGCCACUGCUCUCCAACCUGGACAUCAGGGUGAGACCUUGUUUCUAAAAUAAAUAAACUCAAGAGUUUAGAAAAGCA